GGAGAUCCUGUGCCCCGGCGGCGAGUGG
rnacentral:sRNA from 1 species